rnacentral:lncRNA from 1 species
AAAUUUUAUAUUUUAUUUCCUUGUAUGUCAAGAAACAUAGCUCCUAUGGCUAAAAUAGAACAUAGGAGAAAAUGAUUAUUUUUUUUGGCUUUUGAAGAAAAUAGGACGAUCCAAAAAAACAUUUAAAUAAAUUGAAAAGCCAAAAUAAUCAUUGAUGAGAGAUUUAACCAAAAGAAUUAAGGUGAGCGAUUCAGGCUCUUGAGAGCCUCUUGUUUUUUUA